CUAUAAGUAUCCAUCUCCCCACGACGACGAUGGCCCGCUCUGCCCUCUUGAAAUCUCUCCGACCUGUCUCCUAUGCCCGCUCUUCCCCUCAUGGUAGAAGUCCUCGCUAGGGUUCAGCAGAUGCCCCCGUUGUCCCGCCAAGGUCUUGAUUUCGUCGCCAGAAAGAGGUCUCCAUUUCUUGCGUCUUACGGAAAGAUUGGGUUCUUGUUCAUCUUCUUUGAGGCCUCAUCUACGGGUGAACGGUGCAAGAACGACGACUCCUGAGCAAAGAAGCCUUAUCGGUGUCACCUCAUGUAGGAGCAAGCUACCGAUGAAUGAUUCUUGGUGAAAGAUGAUCGAGAGGUUCUUAUGACUAGAUCCAGAAAGCUUCUCGUGGCAAUAAUUGAAGCCACAGACGAUUAGAUGAGUGGCAAUGAUGAUUUGUUGUACUGUGGCUUUGUGAUCCAUGCUGCCUUCUUAGAAGCCAUGUUUGACGAUGCAUGCACUUUGUAGAGAUGAGAAUUAAUUAUAAUGAUCUAAUUAUAGAUCUCUACCAAAACAAUUAUUUUGACACCUAUAAUAGUUGUCAUGGCUGAUGUUUGCUCGAUGUUCGUGAAAUUAUUUAGGGCAGCAUUUGGCAUGGUUUCCUAUCUCUAGCUUUCUUUUUUUUAAAAAAAAUAAAAUUUAUUAUUAUUAUUAUUUUGGCAAAAAUUGAAAACUUCAAACUUGUUUGGUAAUGAAUAUGACGAUAGAAUGGAGAUAAUAAUGAUCGUGGAAACCAACUUUACUAAAAAAUUAUUCUACCCGAGUUUCUGAUCUCGUUUGGUUAGCAAGAAUAGGAGGAAAGAAAAUAUGGUCAACGAGAAAAAUUUAAGAAAUGCCUCGUAUUUAUAUUUAGUUGAAGUUUUCAAUAGAAAGAAAUGGAAAAGUAGUUUUUUUUUGAAAAUAAAAUUUUUAUAUUUAUAGAAGAAAAACUCAUAUAGCACAUUGGGAAAGCCCAAUAGUUUUCUCUUGGGAUAUUUUUUUCUUUUUAAAAAUGCUCUUAUGCUUUUUAAGUAAAAUAAGAUAAGUUCUUUUUCUAGAUUAUAAAUAUUUUACACAACUUUCCAAAAAAAAGUUAAUGCUCAACCAAACAUAAGCCAUUUUGAAAUGUGUCGCUUUCCGAUAAUUAAUCAAACAUGCAAAAACCAUUUUUUCAAGCAUAAUAUAUUUAGACAUAAUGUAUCUGUGUUCUGUAUACCCCUAAGGUAAUUCUGGCUAUGCAGUCUUCAAUGCAACUUUCUUACACCGAAAGUGUAUUCGCAUAAUCACAUCACACUACUGUUACUAUCAUCAUCAUCCUCAUCAUGUCGUCAUCAUCAUAUUGUUGUUGUUGUUGUUAUAUUAUUAGUGAUUGUUGGCAAAAAACAAUUCACAUUAGGUUAUCACUGUAUUUACUAUUUCAUUCUAUCCUUUGUGGAACUUGAUUUGGCACAAGGAUCGAAUCCCGAGACAUGCUUUCACUGCUUAGAAGGUUCUUAUGGCUAAGUCACUCACUCAGACCGAACUUCAGCACCGAGGAUUCCAGCUUGUCUCUUACUGCUCCCUGUGUUGGGAAGAUCUGCUAUAUCUGGGAGAGUGUCUUGAUUCUUUAGGGUCACAUUCCGUGGUAUCAUAUCUCAACCCCCUUUCGUCAUGGUUUGAAAUCGGUCUUUCACUACAUAUGAAUUUUCUGCUGCUAUAUUUUUCCCAGAUGUCAACUUGCCACCAACAUGUUUGAACUUGUUACUAAUAUAUUUGAAGUUACUUGGUAGCAGGCAUAGAAUGCAGGGCCUGCUAAAAAGGCGACUUAUUUAAGAUGAAUCCUUCAUUUCCUUUUGGUUCACUUGCUCAUUGGGAAAUCAUUUAAUCAAAGGACCUCCAGUUAACAGGGGCUUCAACUUAAUGAGUCAAUGUUGUUGACAUUUAACAAUCAGGCUUCCCUCUAUGAUGAUCCAGCAGAAGUCCAUUGAUCAGAAAAUUAUAUUGAUCAUCUAAUUCUUGGGCUGUGGCCUGUUGAACCAAUGGAUUGAUUUAGGGAUAAUGUAUAACAAUUUAGAAUCAUGUUUCCUCUUACAUUGUAUUUCUUGUAUAAGCCCUAAACUUUGUUAAUCAAUCCUUAAAACAUGGAUUGCUUUAGGGAUAGUGUAUAACAAUCUAGAAUUAUGUUUCAUCUUACGUUGUAUUUCUUGUAUAAGCCCUAAACUUUGUUGACUAUCCUUAAAACAUCAUAUUCUUAAAAUUGAAGUUGGUUUUUCUUUAUGUUUAUGCAGGAUUAACAUUUUGGCAUUGUCCCACUGGAAGCAAUGGCAGCCUGUAAUUGCAUGCAACAGCAGGGGGCCUGUAGAGACAAUUAAACAUGGAGUUACUGAGUUCUCUGCGAUUCCACCUGGAAUUCUUGCGGGCUAUGUCCAGGCUUGUCACUGUUCCUGAGAUGGCAGUAAGGAUGAGUAAGGAGGCAUGGAACCAUGUCAAAUAGAAGUUCUCUACCAAGACCUUUGGAGAACAGCUAAACAUUACGUCCUUGAUGCUUUGCAUCAGAGAAUAGAGUAAGCAAGAAUUGGAGUACCAUUUGGAAAUGGAACCAUCCAUGAUUUGAACUCAGUUUGCUUUGUUGAAGAUGGUCCAGCUCAGUGCAAUUACUUUGUCACCCUAAUUUCGCUAGUGUUACUUUCUUGCGAUCCAAUUCAUACGAUUUUAAUGCUGAUAUUUUCUUUGGGUAUGUGAUCUCUGAAAUGUUCGAAUAAGGGCAAAGUGAACAAUCAUCAUUGACAUGAACAUUGCGUCCCUUCAGAAAGUGCUAUACGAACAUCACAUUCUCAUUUA